GGAGAUGGCAUUGGCGUUGACGGAAUUUGAGGCAUUGUGUGGAUUUAUAAGUCUCGAGGAGCUUAAGUUGAUUGUUCAAACUGUGCCAGAGAUUGUUGAAUUGGUCGGUACAGCACACACAGAGCAGGUAUUGGAAUUGAACGAGGAUGAUGGGAAGGAAAAAGGUAAAUUCGUCCUACAAUCAGUAUUUACUGAGCUGAUGUCAGCAAACAAGGAUGUGGUUGCUGAAGUGAUAGCCAAGCUGAUUAGUCGCCUACACGUUAAAAAUCAGGCAAGGGAGCUGACAGAGAAAGAACAAGUGGUGCUUAGACUUGAGAAGCAGUAUCCAGCUGAUAUUGGUGUCUUGGCUGCAUUCUUGUUAAAUUAUGUGAAACUCAAUCCUGGUGAAGCCUUAUAUUUAGGAGCAAAUGAACCUCAUGCUUAUUUAUAUGGUGAUUGUAUUGAAUGCAUGGCA
rnacentral:misc_RNA from 1 species